rnacentral:lncRNA from 1 species
AUGAAUGGUGGCCCCUUCAGUGAUGAUAGAAUCCACCAGUCUCCCAUUUAGAAGGAACCUAACAACAUGUAGUUGAGGCUUCUGCCUCCAGGAAAGAUUGGAGAGAUGACCCUCCAGACCUGUUUCCUUAUCACUACAAAUGGGCUUAGGGGUGCAGGCAGACCGAUGGCCUUGAGGCCUGUAUUAGUCCAUUUUCAUACUGCUGUGAAGAAAUACCUGAGACUAGGUCAAAACUGUAGAAUGUUCAGCUCUGAUGAGAUAAACUGAGGCUGCUUGGGAGAGAAUUUUUGGAUCUGCCUGGAAUUUGUGCAAUCUGAAAUGAAGACCAUGGAGGCUCUAUGUGAACCACGAGACUAGAAAGAAUGAUGCCCAUUCUCCUGCUUCCAGGAAGGACUGUAUUUUUACACAUAGUAUUUUUGUUCUGACUAUGACAAAAAUACAUACACAUUUUGGAAAGUACAGAAAAUAAUAAAGAAAAUGAAAACAAUCUACAAUUCUACUACCCAAAGAUGAUUACGAUUGGCAUUUGAAAUUUUCUGAGUUUACAAAAAAAUGCCUUUUAUCCUGCCUUUUAAAAAAUGCAUAGCAUUAUAUCUGAA